UACGAAGGGUGCUAGCGUUGUUCGGAAUUACUGGGCGUAAAGGGUGCGUAGGCGGCCUGAUAAGUGAGAUGUGAAAUACCUGGGCUUAACCUGGGAACUGCAUUUCAUACUGUUAGGCUAGAGCGAUUUAGAGGAAGAUGGAAUUGUGCGUGUAGAGGUGAAAUUCGUAGAUAUGCACAAGAACACCAGUGGCGAAGGCGAUCUUCUGGGAAUUGACUGACGCUAAUGCACGAAAGCGUGGGGAGCAAACAGG
rnacentral:rRNA from 1 species